CAGCCGCCGCGGGAAUACGUAGGGUGCGAGCGUUAAUCGGAAUUACUGGGCGUAAAGCGUGCGCAGGCGGUUAUAUAAGACAGAUGUGAAAUCCCCGGGCUCAACCUGGGACCUGCAUUUGUGACUGUAUAGCUAGAGUACGGUAGAGGGGGAUGGAAUUCCGCGUGUAGCAGUGAAAUGCGUAGAUAUGCGGAGGAACACCGAUGGCGAAGGCAAUCCCCUGGACCUGUACUGACGCUCAUGCACGAAAGCGUGGGGAGCAAAUAGGAUUAGAUACCCCAGUAGUCCCUGUCUCUUAUAC
rnacentral:rRNA from 1 species